GCCGAAAUAGCUGAGUUAGGAGAGCGUUAGACUGAAGAUCUAAAGGUCCCUGGUUCGAUCCCGGGUUUCGGCA
rnacentral:tRNA from 1 species